CGCGAGAGUCAGCCGACCAAGGACUCGGUACCGCGAGCCGCCUUUUCUUUCUUUUUUUCCCCUCAGUGUGUGUAGCUUUAAUUGGUGAGUUCGGCUGGAAGGCGGGGCCUCACGGGGAAAAGAAACUGGAGGCUGAGCAGACACUCUCUGCGUAGGAUCAUCAUGCCGAGCAUAAACUGGACUUUCCCACUUGCCUGGCAGGAGUGAGACAGAUCACUGUGUGCUAAAUGAGCAUCUGAGGAUGGAAUGCUCUGAAUAUAUCUGUGAAGUCUAUCUGUGAAGUCCAUCUUGUCCAGUGUGUCAUUCAAAGCCCUGCUUUCCUUGUUGAUCUUCUGCUUAGAUGAUGUGUCCAUCACAGAUGUUGUUCAACCUAGAAGAAAAUGCUUCUGCGCAGUGGCUAGUCUGCUUCCCUUCAUUAUCUUCCUACCAUGCAAAAAGAAAAAAAUUUUUUUUCUUAAGAUUCUUUGACCAAACUUUGCUCAUGAUGAUGGAAUCUUAAGUAACUGUUGCUUCGCCACAGGACUUCUGGUGUGCCAUAACUAGCAACGGGUCUGCCUUUUUCUCCAGUCACCCUUUGAAAGAAGGUAUUUUAUUUUUCUUUGUACAGCAUAAGAUAACUCCACUAAAUAGCAGUUGUCUUUAAGCUUGCCAAGACAGAUAAUGUUUGGCUUAUUUUUCUAGCCCUUCCUCCUGGGGGGAAAAAUAGUGAAAUCUCAGGAAAGCUUACUGAGGUAUGCUGUAUGUUUCUGAACAAUACUGCUGCUGCCUCUGAAGAAAUAAAAUGAAUACUAUCCAAGGCUAAAUGUCCUUUGAGAAUAUGGAUAUGUACUAUUCCUUUCUAGACUGCUGGAUAACUAUGUUCAAUUUUUUAUUUUC
rnacentral:lncRNA from 1 species